AUUGAACGCUGGCGGCAUGCCUUACACAUGCAAGUCGAACGGUAACGGGCCUUCGGGUGCCGACGAGUGGCGGACGGGUGAGUAAUACAUCGGAACGUGCCCGAUCGUGGGGGAUAACGAGGCGAAAGCUUUGCUAAUACCGCAUACGAGCUACGGAUGAAAGCAGGGGACCGCAAGGCCUUGCGCGGACGGAGCGGCCGAUGGCAGAUUAGGUAGUUGGUGGGAUAAAAGCUUACCAAGCCGACGAUCUGUAGCUGGUCUGAGAGGAUGAUCAGCCACACUGGGACUGAGACACGGCCCAGACUCCUACGGGAGGCAGCAGUGGGGAAUUUUGGACAAUGGGCGCAAGCCUGAUCCAGCCAUGCCGCGUGCAGGAUGAAGGCCUUCGGGUUGUAAACUGCUUUUGUACGGAACGAAAAGCCUUCUUUUAAUACAGGAGGGUCAUGACGGUACCGUAAGAAUAAGCACCGGCUAACUACGUG
rnacentral:rRNA from 1 species